GGGUGGGAGAGGCCAGCCUAAGUGCAAUGUGGGCCGACUUUUGGUUUGUGCUAACUUCCAUGUGCUUAUUUAUAAACAAAUUCGGCCAAAGAUUUUUACUGCUCUGAGUUGCGUGUAUUAACUUGGCGUUAGUACAGCGCUCUGUGUUUGCAUACUCAACAGAGAGGUAUUGAGUUUUAGAAAGCCAUAGUAAUUUCUGUGCUGUAUCAUUUACAUGUGAAGAGUUGGGCAUUUCUGUGUUUUUUUAAUUACCCAUUUGUUACCUUAUUAACCUUAUAAAACUAUGGUGUUUUUCUGAUUUUAAAAGUAAUACCCUCCUUACGGUAAAAAAUCGAUUCAUGAUAGAAAAGUAUGAACGAGGAUAAACGAACAGCAGGAUAAAAUAUAAACUUUACAGAGACCAGUGAAAGACCUUGAUGUUCUGGGCCCUGCUUUUGCCACCAGCCCCAAGGCUGGUGAUUAUGGGCAGAACUUUACCAGUUACACGGAACUUCAUGCAGUUUCCUGAAAGAGCCAGGCGGCUGCCCACCCACCUCCCUGACUGUAUGUACGCUCGCUGCUUUUACCUGAAUGUCCUCUCCUGGGGCCACUAACUCAGAACCUUUAGCUCAGGUACCUCCAAGAAGUCUUCCAUUCCUGUCCUCAAUGUGGAUGAUCCAGCACUUCUAUGAAUAUCCAGAAUUUUGUUUACUGUAGCGCUUGCCACGUCGUAUCGCAACGGCCGGUUAACUUGUUUGCCCAGGAAACCGAACUGUCCAAGUGCAGAGACUCUGCCUUACUUAGCUUUGAACUCCCAGGGACUGGUCCUUUAGGAACUAAAUACAUAACAUGCCCAAUGAAUGAGUAAAUGCCAGACAUUAUUGCUGCCUUCAAUGUCCAGACUGCUGAGGGUAUUCAUAAGUUUCAGGAUUAGGAAACAGUUCCAGACUAUUUCCCAACACAAAUAAGCAUUGCCCGUGGUGUAUUUCCGUUCUCUCACAUGGAGAUUCCAAGGAAGGAAGAGAUCAAAAUGACAUGGAAUGACGAGUAUGCUUUCUUCACAAAACAUAUUUUUACAGCUGGGUCCUGAAUGAGGAGGGAGGUCCGAAUAAGCCUCAUAGGAGAAACAGAUUCCUUGCCUUCCAGGCUCUGUUUAGGUGUGUGGUUUGUACAGUUAGCCUGUUCUGUCUGGAGCUCAGCCCCUCUCCUGGACCCAGCAUUUAAUGGCUGUGCUACCUAUCUGAGUUGAGAGAAGUGAACGUUUUCUAGGCCUGCACAGGAAACACACCUGGCCUUUAGCUCCCUUACUCUCUGUAUUAGUCGCCCCGCCGUGACUGGAGGGACUGCGAAGCCCCAGCCUUCCACAGAGUUGGCCGGACGCGUGCCUGGCGCAUCUAACUUUCCCACGCGCGGAUUGCAAGGCCUAGAUUCGAAGGAGAGAAAAGAGGAAGCACAGUUAUGAGCUCAGAAGUUUUAAGAGGAUUGCAUUCGGUUGCAAGUCACGGAAGACACAACUAAGCAGUGAGCGGCCCGAAGAAUCUGGGGUUUCCUUCUCCUGGUAAGACUGAGGGUAGGACAGUGGCCCUGUGAUGCCAUUGGAGACUGAGCUCCUCCGCUCUUCACUUACUCAUCCUGAGUUGCCUCGUGGCCCAAGAUAACCGUGCUACUUCCGGCAUCACGCUCGCAUGCCAAAGGUCAAAGGCAACAGGGUGGUGCCCGUUGACACUACUCCCUUGUGAAGAGCUUUUCAAGAAGCCUCACCCAGCACCUGCCUCUUUUCAGCUCCUCCACCAGGGCUGUGCCACAUGGCUGUCCGCAGCUGCAGAAGCUGGGACACAGGGUGGUUUAGCAUGUCCGCAUGGAUGUCCGCACAUGUGUAUGUACGUAUGUACGCUGCUGCCUCAAACACAACUAGGGUUCUCCUGGUAGGAAAGGAGGCUGCAAUGGAUGCUAAGUAGCUAGAAACCUCUGUCAUGGGGACAAGGUGAAUUCUUAGGUCUAACUCUACUUGGGAAGUCCGCUCUCCAGGGCAGAAGUGUGCGUGCAGAAUGCUGAGAACAAACUGAGGACUGAUGGGGGGGGGGGGAGAGGGGGGGGG